rnacentral:rRNA from 1 species
AGAGUUUGAUCCUGGCUCAGGAUGAACGCUAGCUACAGGCUUAACACAUGCAAGUCGAGGGGAAACGACAUCGAAAGCUUGCUUUUGAUGGGCGUCGACCGGCGCACGGGUGAGUAACGCGUAUCCAACCUGCCCACCACUUGGGGAUAACCUUGCGAAAGUAAGACUAAUACCCAAUGACGUCUCUAGAAGACAUCUGAAAGAGAUUAAAGAUUUAUCGGUGAUGGAUGGGGAUGCGUCUGAUUAGCUUGUUGGCGGGGUAACGCCGCAAGGCUACGAUCAGUAGGGGUUCUGAGAGGAGGUCCCCCANAUUGGAACUGAGACACGGUCCAAACUCCUACGGGAGCA